CCUAACCAUGCAGUCGAGCGGAACGAGUUAACUGAACCUUCGGGGAACGUUAACGGCGUCGAGCGGCGGACGGGUGAGUAAUGCCUGGGAAAUUGCCCUGAUGUGGGGGAUAACCAUUGGAAACGAUGGCUAAUACCGCAUAAUAGCUUCGGCUCAAAGAGGGGGACCUUCGGGCCUCUCGCGUCAGGAUAUGCCCAGGUGGGAUUAGCUAGUUGGUGAGGUAAUGGCUCACCAAGGCGACGAUCCCUAGCUGGUCUGAGAGGAUGAUCAGCCACACUGGAACUGAGACACGGUCCAGACUCCUACGGGAGGCAGCAGUGGGGAAUAUUGCACAAUGGGCGCAAGCCUGAUGCAGCCAUGCCGCGUGUAUGAAGAAGGCCUUCGGGUUGUAAAGUACUUUCAGCAGUGAGGAAGGUGUUGUCGUUAAUAGCGGCAUCAUUUGACGUUAGCUGCAGAAGAAGCACCGGCUAACUCCGUGCCAGCAGCCGCGGUAAUACGGAGGGUGCGAGCGUUAAUCGGAAUUACUGCGCGUAAAGCGCAUGCAGGUGGUUUGUUAAGUCAGAUGUGAAGCCGGGCUCAUCCUCGGAGUUGCAUUUGAACUGCAGACUAGAGUACUGUAGAGGGG
rnacentral:rRNA from 1 species